GCCUACCCCUGGUCUAGUGGUUUGAGUGUAGGACUAAGACUCUGGAGACCAGGGUUCGAUUCCCAGUUCGGCU